GAUCAUGGCUCAGAUUGAACGCUGGCGGCAGGCUUAACACAUGCAAGUCGAGCGGGGAAGGGUAGCUUGCUACCUGACCUAGCGGCGGACGGGUGAGUAAUGCUUAGGAAUCUGCCUAUUAGUGGGGGACAACAUUCCGAAAGGAAUGCUAAUACCGCAUACGCCCUACGGGGAAAGCAGGGGAUCUUCGGACCUUGCGCUAAUAGAUGAGCCUAAGUCAGAUUAGCUAGUUGGUGGGUAAAGG
rnacentral:rRNA from 1 species